rnacentral:tRNA from 1 species
GGGUCCAUAGCUCAGUUGGUUAGAGCGCUUGCUUGACAUGCAAGAGGUCGUAUGUUCGAGUCAUAUUGGACCCACCA